rnacentral:rRNA from 1 species
UUUUAUUGUUAAUUAAGAUUUUUUUAAUUUUUAGUUAAUUUAUUAAUAUGUUAUGAAAAAUUAAGAUUUAUAAGUAAUUAUGAUUAAAUUAGUAUAAAUUAUUGUAAUAUUUAUUAUAAUUUUUAGGUUAAAUUAAGGAAUUCGGCAAAUUUAUUUUCUGCCUGUUUAUUAAAAACAUGUCUUUUUGUAAUUAUUUAAAGUCGGGCCUGCCCUAUGAUUAUUUAAAUGGCCGCGGUAUUUUGACCGUGCAAAGGUAGCAUAAUAAUUAGUUUCUUAAUUAGAAGCUGGAAUGAAUGGUUUGACAAGAAAAUUUCUGUCUCAAUUUAAUUAUUAGAAUUUAACUUUUGAGUUAAAAGGCUUAAAUAUCUUUAAAAGACGAGAAGACCCUAUAGAAUUUUACAUUUAAUUUAUUUAAGAUUUUUUGGAUUAUUUAUUUUUAGGUAAAUUGUUUGUUUUGUUGGGGUGAUGGAAAAAUUAAAAUAACUUUUUCUUAUUUUAUUCAUUGAUUUAUGA